UUGCUUCCAACAGGGAAGAUGAGGUUUUUUUUUUUUUUCCUUCUUCUAGGAUGGUAGAGAGCAGUCUACAGCCUGAGACCCAUCACCAGCUAUUGCAACAGAGGCUACUCUUUGGUUUUCAAGAAAGAGUGUGGCUGCGCGUAGUGGCUCAUGCCUGUCAUCCCAACACUUUGGGACACCGAGGCGGGAGGAUCACGAGGUCAGGAGUUCAAGACCAGCAUGGACAACCUGGUGAAACCUCAUCUCUACUAAAAAUACAAAAAUUAGCUGGGCAUGGUGGUGCGUGCCUGUAAUCCCAGCUACUCAGGAGGCUGAGGCAGGAGAAUUGUUUGAACCGGGACCCAAGAGGACACAAUUGGAGAAAUUAUUUUACCAAGGCUUUGACUGGAAUGAUGUGCUUUCCUUUAAAGAAUAAACUUGACUUAUGGAGCCAAUAAAGCCCUUUUGAAAAACUGGCCUCAUGUUUUAUGUACACAGUCCAUGUGCAGGGGUUCUGACCUGUGGACAUGAGACUUCACAAUCUGCUAAAAAUGAGCUUUUGGGACCUACUCAUCUAGAAAUAAACCAUCCUAGCCAUGAGAGAUCAGAUGAAACCUGAAGCCAGAGACUUAUUUUUUUGUAAAAUGCUUUCUACAAAAGAUUUGAAAAAGAAAAGGGGGGAAAUGUGAAAGGAAAAUAUCUUGGGCCCCUUCAAGCUGGAAACCACUCAGGGCAAAUCUCCCUUGCAUUCUAUUCAACGUAAUCCCUCUGCUCACAGAGAUAGAUGCAUAUUCUGA